rnacentral:rRNA from 1 species
CGUGUAGGCGGUGCGGUAAGUUGGGCGUGAAAUCCCCGAGCUUAACUCGGGUGGGCCGUUCAAGACUGCCGUGCUAGGGUGCGGGAGAGGGAAGUGGAAUUUCCGGUGUAGCGGUGAAAUGCGUAGAUAUCGGGAGGAACACCUGCGGCGAAGGCGGCUUCCUGGACCGUAACCGACGCUGAGGCGCGAAAGCUAGGGGAGCAAACAGGAUUAGAUACCCUGGUAGUCCCUAGCCCUAAACGAUGAGCACUGGGUGUGGCCCCUCACGGGGCCGUGCCGAAGCUAACGCAUUAAGUGCUCCGCCUGGGGAGUACGGUCGCAAGGCUGAA